AUUGAACGCUGGCGGCAGGCCUAACACAUGCAAGUCGAGCGAGCGGCGGACGGGUGAGUAAAGUCUGUGAAGCUGCCUGAUGGAGGGGGAUAACAACUGGAAACGGUAUCUAAUACCGCAUACCCUCAGGUGUGACCAGAUGGGAGUAGCGAGUAGGUGGGGUAACGGCGCACCUAGGCGACGAUCCCUAGCGGGUAUGAGAGGAUGACCAGCCACACUGGAACUGAGACACGGUCCAGACUCCUACGGGAGGCAGCAGUGGGGAAUAUUGCACAAUGGGCGCAAGCCUGAUGCAGCCAUGCCGCGUGUGUGAAGAAGGCCUUCGGGUUGUAAAGUACUUUCAGCGGGGAGGCGUUACCCGCAGAAGAAGCACCGGCUAACUCCGUGCCAGCAGCCGCGGUAAUUC
rnacentral:rRNA from 1 species